rnacentral:rRNA from 1 species
GUAGUCUGCAACUCGACUACAUGAAGCUGGAAUCGCUAGUAAUCGCGAAUCAGAAUGUCGCGGUGAAUACGUUCCCGGGUCUUGUACACACCGCCCGUCACACCAUGGGAGCCGGAAAUGCCCGAAGCCAGUGACCCAACCUUAGGGAGGGAGCUGUCGAAGGUGGAGCCGGUAACUGGGGUNAAGUCGUAACAAGGUAGC